rnacentral:tRNA from 1 species
UCUUUGGUGGUCUAGUGGUUAAGAUUUGGCACUUUCACUGCUGCGGCCCAGGUUCACUCCCUGGUCUGGGGA